CCUACGGGUGGCAGCAGUGGGGAAUAUUGGGCAAUGGGCGCAAGCCUGACCCAGCAACGCCGCGUGAAGGAAGAAGGCUCUCGGGUUGUAAACUUCUUUUAAGAGGGAAGAGCAGAAGACGGUACCUCUUGAAUAAGCCAUGGCUAACUACGUGCCAGCAGCCGCGGUAGUACGUCGGUGGCAAGCGUUGUCCGGAUUUACUGGGUGUAAAGGGCGUGCAGCGGGGAAGACCAGUCAGAGGUGAAAUCCCGCGGCUCAACCGCGGUACUGCAUUUGAAACUGUAUUUCUUGAGUACCGGAGAGGUCAUCGGAAUUCCUUGUGUAGCGGUGAAAUGCGUAGAUAUAAGGAAGAACACCAGUGGCGAAGGCGGAAGACUGGCCGGCAACUGACGGUGAGGCGCGAAAGCGUGGGUAGCAAACAGGAUUAGAUACCCCUGUAGUC
rnacentral:rRNA from 1 species